rnacentral:lncRNA from 1 species
GAAGGCAUGCGGAUCUACAUCAUGGAUUGACGCACCUGGUGGAAUCCCUCCGGAAGACUUCUUUCGGCCACCAAAACCACCCAGAAUAGAUGCAAUCCGGCUACGUCCUCUGCCCACGCCCUCCCUAACUGAGGUUGUCCUUUGAAACUCUGGAUCUUGUCUGCUUCCACCAGAACCGGCGCCUGACUCGAAAAACGAGGGCCCAAAUCGAGCCCGAUGCCUCGCCACCUCCUUCUGCUGCCACCGAUCAUCCAGACUCGCCCACAUGGCAGAAUGGAUCUGUGUCUCCUCCUUAUCUGGACCCCUCGACCUCCUGU